GACCGCGCGGUGCUGGUGCGAAAUUCAUCUGAUGGAGGACGCAGCGAAGUUGGAUCCGACCAGCAUUGAGUUUUGCGAGAGGAGGAUCGAGCAAUUGAAGAGUCAGAAGAGGAAACUUGAGAUGACUACGACGGAAAAUUUCGCGGAGCAAGCGGAUCCGAAGGGCGGGAAGAAGCGUUGCAAGGAGGUUAAGUCUCUGCUAGAGAGGAAGGUCAAGAAUCCCGAGACGAGGCAGGCGGAUCAGGAGGACGCGAGGAAGCAUGCAAAGCAGAUCGGCUCUCUGGAGAAGGUCAUCAAGUUCAUGGAGAAGAGGAGGGAAUAUAUUAUUAUUGCGGCGGAAAGAUCUAUUUCCGUGGAGGCUGCGCAGGAGCUGGCGGAGCAGGAGGAGGAGCUGAAGGACGAGGAGCAGCCGGGCGGAGAGUGGAUGCAAGAAUACACGAGAGUCCAGGAUCUUAAUGCUGCGACCGAUAACCUUCCCACUCUGACCGAUGGCCACAAGGACCCUGCCACCGUUGCUGCUGUGCUCGACCCGGAUGACAAGAGCAAGAUCAUAAAUGUGGCAAAGUCAGUUGUCAAAGUUUCCUUUCCCCCACCAAAUCGAGGUCGGGAAUAUUUGGAUCAGUGGUAUACUGGCAUCAUCAUCAGUUGGGAUGUGCCCAAUAAGACAGCAAUGAUCCUCAGUGGUGGUUGUUUGGACCGCGACAUUGAUGAUAAGUCCAAGAGGAAGAUAUUCGUGCAUUAUCCAUACAUGGAAGAUGAUGGCUUAAUUGAGGCAAAACUUCUCUUCUUCAGCACAUUCUAUCAACUUUCUUUGCUGGAGGUUGCUUUUCAGGGGAUGCUGCUGGAUGUCCCGACACAGAUUCCCCAUUUUGGUUCAACCCACCCAAAACGUGGUGAUGAGGUAUUUUCAUUGGGUAGGGACCAGUGGCGGAGGACGGAUGAAAAUCGAGGACCUCGUCGGCCAAUCCAUGGCGGGCGGACGCCAGCUUGGAAGCGGGGACCAGCUAUUUGCAGGGGUGUCCGCGCCAAACAAGGUAUGGCGAGCGCCAUAGCUCGCCAUAACAGGUCCUCCGCCCCUGGUAGGGACAAAGAUUUGUCAUUGGUGGUCCGUCGUGGGACAAUUGUGAAAGAUGGGUGUCUCAUUGGGUUGCGCCAAGGUUACCUGUUUCUGGACUAUGAACUACCUGGGGGUGGCACAGGAGGACCUGUGGUUGAUCAUCAAGGUGACGUGGUAGGGAUGGUAAUGGCUUGUGAUGAUUACAUAGCAAUUAUUCUUCCUAUCUCUAUUGUCCUCUCAUGUUUUCGUAUGUGGACAGAUUUCAGGUUUGUUUCCCAUCUUGUUUCAGUCUAUUUCUAUCUCUACCACCUUCUUAUAGUAUCGCUAUGUGGAUUAAGUUUGGGUUUGUUUCCUAUUUUUCCGGGUAGGUUCUCUUUGGGCUUUCCAGUUUUAACGUUAAAGACUUUCAUUAGAGUUAUAGGUAUUAUCUCCCUGUCUGUAUGCUUUCUUGUAACAGAAUUAAUCAAUUCACAAUUCUUCAUCAGCAGGGAGCAUAACUCCUGCUCAAAUGCAUACAGGCUCAGGACAUAAGCCAACAACUAGGAGCACAAAGACUCGUCACUCGCAUCAAACUCAAAGUAACACACAUGCAUCCUAAGCAACCCCCUAAAAACAGAAGCUCUGUUGAUUUCUGCAUCAACUCCAGGACCAGGCCUAGUAGCGCAGCUUGGAGCCACCAGCACCAGUAGCCCCUGCAGCCCCAUUAGAUGCUCAGAUCAGCCAUCAGGAUGCACCAGUUAUCCAGCAGAUUCUCCCUAGCCUCAUCAUCAGUACUUCCAAUAUUUUCAACAAGUCGUGGUAUUUCUCCAGAUAUUGUGUUGGGCACUGCAAUGCCCAGUUCUGAUAUGCACAAACAGUUUGUUCGACUCUAUGCCAUGUUUACUCAAAAUCUUGCACAUAACACUAGCUUAUUUAGUCAUCUUUAUAUGAAUCAGAAAAGCGGGGGUCACGUGUAUCAUUACAGAAUACAGAUACAACAAACUUAUUGGCAGACGAAUAGCUCGUCCCUUGCUCGGUAUGAGCUGUAGGAAUGCGGAAGCUCUGGAUUCUCGCUCUGGUGACAUCAGAUUUGAUGCUUUAGUUGUAACUAAGGUUGACCCGACUUCUGCCGCAUGGAAGCAGGGCAUUAGAAGUGGGAAUUUGAUUGUUUCCUUUGAUGAGCAGGCUCCUAAACCUUUGCCGGAGUUUGAAGUUUUUCUACUGUCGCUUGGUUCAAAGAACCUCCAUGGGACACACACGGAGGUUGAUUUCAAG